UGAUUUUGUUCUUCAGUGAGUGGAGCAAGCUGCUGACCUUAACUGGGCUGGUGGGCACCUGGAUCAGGAUGGAGUGCAGUACAAAGGAAGAAAUGAAGAAAGCAAACACAAGUAGAAUAUCGAAAAUCAUGAACUUGAUCAGAGGCAGGAUGAA